ACCAGACUCCUACGGGAGGCAGCAGUGGGGGAUAUUGCACAAUGGGGGAAACCCUGAUGCAGCGACGCCGCGUGGGCGAAGAAGUAUUUCGGUAUGUAAAGCCCUCUCAGCAGGGAAGAAGAAAUGACGGUACCUGAGUAAGAAGCACCGGCUAAAUACGUGCCAGCAGCCGCGGUAAUACGUAUGGUGCAAGCGUUAUCCGGAUUUACUGGGUGUAAAGGGAGCGCAGGCGGCACGGCAAGCCUGAUGUGAAAGCCCGGGGCUCAACCCCGGGACUGCAUUUGGAACUGUGCUGCUAGAGUGUCGGAGAGGCAGGCGGAAUUCCUAGUGUAGCGGUGAAAUGCGUAGAUAUUAGGAGGAACACCAGUGGCGAAGGCGGCCUGCUGGACGAUGACUGACGUUGAGGCUCGAAAGCGUGGGGAGCAAACAGGAUUAGAUACCCCAGUAAGU
rnacentral:rRNA from 1 species